rnacentral:snoRNA from 1 species
UCUGCACAUCGUUAGAGCUGGGAGUUGAGGCCCCUGGCUGGCCAAGGAGCUCACAAGCAUAGGUAAUGUGCUACGUGAGGGCAGAUUCUACUACCACCAUGGGGGUCUCUGGCCCAGGGAGUGAAGUCUGAUAGUAAUUCUUGCUACAAGU